UACGGAGGGUGCGAGCGUUGUCCGGAAUCACUGGGCGUAAAGGGCGCGUAGGCGGCCUGAUUAGUAGGGGGUGAAAUCCUGCGGCUUAACCGCAGGGCUGCCUUCUAAACUGUCAGGCUUGAGCACAGUAGAGGCAGGUGGAAUUCCCGGUGUAGCGGUGGAAUGCGUAGAGAUCGGGAAGAACAUCAGUGGCGAAGGCGGCCUGCUGGGCUGUUGCUGACGCUGAGGCGCGACAGCGUGGGGAGCAAACAGG
rnacentral:rRNA from 1 species